rnacentral:rRNA from 1 species
CAUAAUCRUUAGUUUUUUAAUUGAGAACUUGUAUGAAUGGUUGAAUGAGAAAUAGACUUUUUUAAUAGAAAAAUUGAAUUUUACAUUUUAAUUAAAAGGUUAAAAUAUUUUUAAAAGACGAGAAGACCCUAUAGAGUUUUAUAAUUUAUAUUUAAUACAAAAAAAAAUUAAUAAAUAUUUUUAUUUAAAUAAUUAUUUUGUUGGGGCGACGAUAAAAUUUAAUAAACUUUUAUUUUUUUUUACAUUAAUAUAUGGGGGGCUGAUCCGCUAUUGGCGAUUAAAAAUUUAAAUUACCUUAGGGAUAACAGCGUAAUUUUUUUUUUAAGUUCAUAUUAAUAAAAAAUUUUGCGACCUCGAU